AGUGAACGCUGUCGGCGUGCCUAAUACAUGCAAGUCGAACGAAGUGGCGCACGGGUGAGUAAUAUAUAGUUAAUCUGCCCUACACAGAGUAACAACAGUUGGAAAAGACUGCUAAUACCUCAUAGUGUAGGAUGAGACUAUAUCGUAUCAGCUAGUUGGUAAGGUAAUGGCUUACCAAGGCUAUGACGCGUAACUGGUCUGAGAGGGUGAUCAGUAAAAUUGGAACUGAGACACGGUCAAAGCUCCUACGGGAGGAAGCAGUAAGGAAUAUUGCGCAAUGGGGGAAACCCUGACGCAGCAACGCCGCGUGGAGGAUGACACUUUUCGGAGCGUAAACACCUUUUAUCAGGAAAGCGGGAAAGGAUGAAUAAGCACCGGCUAACUCCGUGCCAGCCGACGCGGUAAAAC
rnacentral:rRNA from 1 species